UACGGGGGGGGCAAGCGUUGUUCGGAAUUACUGGGCGUAAAGGGCUCGUAGGUGGCCAACUAAGUCAGACGUGAAAUCCCUCGGCUUAACCGGGGAACUGCGUCUGAUACUGGAUGGCUUGAGUUCGGGAGAGGGAUGUGGAAUUCCUGGUGUAGCGGUGGAAUGCGCAGAUAUCAGGAGGAACACCUAUAGCGAAGGCAGCUCGCUGGGACGUUACUGACGCUGAGGCGCGAAAGCGUGGGGAGCGAACAGG
rnacentral:rRNA from 1 species